rnacentral:rRNA from 1 species
AAUCAACGCUGGCGGCGUGCCUCAGACAUGCAAGUCGAACGAUUAAACUUCCCUUCGGGGUAGAUAGAAAGUGGCGCACGGGUGAGUAACACGUAGGUAAUGUACCGUUGGGUGGGGAAUAACUUAGGGAAACUUAAGAUAAUACCGCAUAAUGCAGCGGCUCCUUCGGGAGACAGUUGUUAAAGAUUUAUCGCCUAAAGAGCAGCCUGCGGCAGAUUAGCUAGUUGGUAAGGUAACGGCUUACCAAGGCUACGAUCUGUAUCCGACCUGAGAGGGUGGUCGGACAAACUGACACUGGAUAGCAGGUCAGACUCCUACGGGAGGCGGGCAGUGGGAAUUUUGGGGAAUGGGCGGGAGGCUGAACCAGCAACGCCGCGUGAAGGAUGAAGUCUUUCGGGAUGUAAACUUCGUAAGAAUAGGAAGAAUAUAUGGCGGUACUAUUUGUAAGGUCCGGCUAACUACGUG